rnacentral:lncRNA from 1 species
CUCUUUUUCUUUCCCAUUGAAAUAUGCCUGUAUUGGAAACAGGUGCCUUCAUGGGGAGGUAGAUAGCGUGCUUAAGAGAAAAAGGAAAUUUAAAGAAAAACUUGAGUUCCUUCUUCUGGAGUCCUGACCACUUGGCCUAUGCCUGUUUGGGCAGGACGGGAAGGCUUGGACGUGGAAGACGAGGUGGGAGGAGAAACGAUAUUUGAAAGCAGCAGAUAGGAAAUCAACAAAAUGACAAGGUGGUGCAUGUGAUUGCCAUAUCACCUUCAGAGAUUCUUUCUAGAAGACACGCACAUGCUGUCUACAUUUCAGAUGGCCAAGCCAAUCGUGAGUCAGCUCUGCAGGGAAGCCUGCUCCCCCUGCACUGGCCUGUGAUGCCUCAAGGAGGAGGCUGGACCUGGAGGAAGAGGAACCUCUGUGCUCCCUGAAGGCUCCCUGAGAAUCUUCU